UUCUCUUCAAAUCGUAUAAAUCUUUCACCUUUUCCUAAAGAUUUCUGUGGAGACGGA
rnacentral:snRNA from 1 species